rnacentral:rRNA from 1 species
GAUGAACGCUGGCGGCGUGCCUAAUACAUGCAAGUCGAACGAACAGAUGAUAGGCUUGUUCCUUUAAGGUUAGCGGCGGGCGGGUGAGUAACAUAUGCAUCACCCACACAUAAGACUGGGUAAACUUCGGGAAACCGGAGCAAAAACCGGAUGAUAUACUGAACGCCACGUUUCAUUAUUGAAAGAUAGUUUUGCUGGUAGUUAUAGAUGGAUCCGCGUCGCUUUAUCUAGUUGUUAAGGUAACGGCUUACCAAGGCAAGUAUGCGUAGCCGACCUGAGAUGGUGAGCUGAACCGCUGGAACUGGGACACGGCCCGGACUCGUACGGGAGGCAGGGGAGCGGAAUGUUACGCACGGGGCGAAAGGCUGACCGAGCAACGCCGCGUGGGUGAAGAAGGGCUGCGGAUCGUAAAACUCUGUUAUUAGGGAAGAACAGAAGUGUAAGUAGAGAUGAACGUCUUGACGGUACCUAAUCAGAAAGCCACGGCUAACUACGUG